rnacentral:tRNA from 1 species
GCCCGAGUGGCGGAAUGGCAGACGCGGCGGACUCAAAAUCCGCUGUCUUCACGGACGUGUGGGUUCGAGUCCCACCUCGGGCA